GACGAACGCUGGCGGCGUGCUUAACACAUGCAAGUCGAACGGAAAGGCCCUGCUUUUGUGGGGUGCUCGAGUGGCGAACGGGUGAGUAACACGUGAGUAACCUGCCCUUGACUUUGGGAUAACUUCAGGAAACUGGGGCUAAUACCGGAUAGGAGCUCCUGCUGCAUGGUGGGGGUUGGAAAGUUUCGGCGGUUGGGGAUGGACUCGCGGCUUAUCAGCUUGUUGGUGGGGUAGUGGCUUACCAAGGCUUUGACGGGUAGCCGGCCUGAGAGGGUGACCGGCCUCAUUGGGACUGCGAUACGGCCCAGACUCCUACGGGAGGCAGCAGUGGGGAAUAUUGCACAAUGGGCGGAAGCCUGAUGCAGCAACGCCGCGUGCGGGAUGACGGCCUUCGGGUUGUAAACCGUUUUCGCCUGUGACGAAGCGUGAGUGACGGUAAUGGGUAAAGAAGCACCGGCUAACUACGUG
rnacentral:rRNA from 1 species